rnacentral:rRNA from 1 species
GUGUCUGGUGGGUAGUUUGACUGGGGCGGUCUCCUCCUAAAGAGUAACGGAGGAGCACGAAGGUUGGCUAAUCCUGGUCGGACAUCAGGAGGUUAGUGCAAUGGCAUAAGCCAGCUUGACUGCGAGCGUGACGGCGCGAGCAGGUGCGAAAGCAGGUCAUAGUGAUCCGGUGGUUCUGAAUGGAAGGGCCAUCGCUCAACGGAUAAAAGGUACUCCGGGGAUAACAGGCUGAUACCGCCCAAGAGUUCAUAUCGACGGCGGUGUUUGGCACCUCGAUGUCGGCUCAUCACAUCCUGGGGCUGAAGUAGGUCCCAAGGGUAUGGCUGUUCGCCAUUUAAAGUGGUACGCGAGCUGGGUUUAGAACGUCGUGAGACAGUUCGGUCCCUAUCUGCCGUGGGCGCUGGAGAACUGAGGGGGGCUGCUCCUAGUACGAGAGGACCGGAGUGGACGCAUCACUGGUGUUCGGGUUGUCAUGCCAAUGGCACUGCCCGGUAGCUAAAUGCGGAAGAGAUAAGUGCUGAAAGCAUCUAAGCACGAAACUUGCCCCGAGAUGAGUUCUCCCUGACUCCUUGAGAGUCCUGAAGGAACGUUGAAGACGACGACGUUGAUAGGCCGGGUGUGUAAGCGCAGCGAUGCGUUGAGCUAACCGGUACUAAUGAACCGUGAGGCUUAACCUU